UCGUUCUCUCAGAGAAGGCGUCCAUUUUCAGUCCAUUUCGAACCAGCUGGUUGGGGGGCAGCCAUGGAAGAUCUGCAUUCAUUGUUAGACAUGCGUGGGGGCCUUCGAUUUUCGUUUGAGAGGUGCGCUGCAAAUCCAGCCGCACUUUUAGUCUUCGUCUCACACAUUUGGUCGGGAGAUUUCUCAUCGUUUCUACAGCCUUCGACUCAGACGUCUUCUAUCUUUCUUGCUUGCGAGUUUUUGCAUCCUUUGUCUUCAGGUUCUUGGGUAAUCCCUAAUGCUAUAUAAGAGGAGCUGAGGUAUUUAUAUUUCACAACAUAUUGGGUUCUAUCAGGAAGGGGAUUGAAUCUCACAGAUUAGCUCAGGUGUUCUUUUGUUGCUUUGGAUAGAGCAGUUUGGUUGGUGUUUUCAGCUAUGUUAAGCAGGAGGUGCUGUAUAACUGUUUUUUAGACUGUUUGGUAGCUCUUCCCAUUGCUGCUAGACAACAGGUCAGUUUUCUAUUUGUCUUUUGAAGAAGUCUUGCAUAUCAACCGUGGCUAAUUGUUUUUUGGAUAUUGUGUCUUUGAAAAUUGUUAUUUCUAUCAUUGUGAUGUUAUUGCUUAUAUGGUUUGCUUGAUUAGGCUAUAGAAAUUGUAUUUAAUUCGUUUUCAUAUGUUUGUUUUGAAUUUUUUUAUUUAUAUAGCUGCAAUACUGUUGGUGUACGUCCAUUUUGCUUGAUUAGGCUAUAGAUGUAAUAAAAAUAUUGUAAUUUAACUCAUCCAUGUUUAUUUUUUCCUUUCCAGCCAUUGAUGUGUUGGUUGGAAUUUGUAAUUUUUGAAUAUGAUAACCUAAAAGAAUUACAAAAACCAGAAAAAGCCUGAGUUAAAUUAUAAUAGAUCGAUAUUGAAUGCAUUAGUGCCAAGGAAAAUGUUGUUGAGUUGUAAACAGUUACUCAAAAUCUUCCACCGGUUUCAUACUUGGUGCAUCUACAUUUAGCAUCUGUUUUAAAUUCUUCACUAAAUGGCAUCAAAAUAUUUAUUAACCAAAAAUAGCUAAAUACAAUGAAUAGUGAAAUUUCCACCAAUGACCAAAAAGAAAACUUAGAUGUUGUAAACUAUGCAGUGCUCUCAAAGUGUCGGCUUAUUUUACUGGUUUGGAUAGAGCUUUUAGGUUCCUGCUUUUGGUUCUGUUAAGCAAGAGGGAAAUUUCUUGGUUGAAAUUAAUUGUUUUCCAUUUUGCUUUAGCCAAUGGCAUCAAUUUCCCAUUUGCGUUGAUCAUUUAGGCAUAUGUACUGUUCUUAAUUUUUUAAUGAUGAAUUUUUGGUAUGCAAGUUUGAUAUCAAAGCAUCCCCUGUGAAUAUAUACAUUAGCUUUUUAGUAAACCCAUGUAAAUCAGCUACACGGUGCUUGAUUAUUAUGCAUCAAAGUUAUUCAAAUUAAAGAACACAUUAUUAAAAAGCAUGACAUUAUAAUCAGUAAUCGUAUACUCUUUAUUUCAAAUGCAGCAUCUAAUAGUUUUUAAAUAGACAGUGUAGCAUCUCCAUUGCAAUACAGUUAGUGAAAGAACUUUUUCUUAAUAAAUGUUUUUUUCGUUUUCAAUUCAUUGUGGAAAUAACUUUAAAGUGGGAAAAGAUCAUCAAUUUUUAACAAUG